GACUCCAGGGAGCUCCCUCAGUUGGGCUCAGAACCUGCGAGGAUGGCAGCGGUGUCCAGCAGUGAAGACUGAAGGUGUCCACAGCUGUGAUAGGGGCUUCUGGGUCCUCUUGCUUGCUUUUCUUCACAGGAAGAAGUCCCUCCUAGCUCCUAGGGGGUUUGAUUGUGAGCGGCAAGGGUGUGGCAGAGAUUAUGCUCCAAGACACUGAAUCUGAAAGGAUGCAUCCAGUCUUGCCAAGUGGUUUCACUACCAAGGCCAGUCUCCAUCUAUGAUAGACCCAAGGAAGAUCAUUUACAACUAGAAUCUAGUCAUUUAGGAGAUUGUGUGCUCCCUGGAUGGGCCAUCUGCACUGGUGUGAGGUUUAUCUCAUUGAAGGGAAAACCAAAGGAAUCUUCUUGAAUAUCAGCACCAGGAAGAGCAGUACAAACUGGAGAAGCUGGGCCAUCAUCUCAUGAGGAUACUCAGGCAGCCCUAUGAAGAGAUCCAUGUGAAGAACCAAGGCUUCCUGCCAACAGCCAGUGAGAAACUGAGGUCUCCAGUGAACAGCUAUGUGAGUGAGCCCUUGUGGAAGUGGAUCAUCCAGCCCCAGUCAAGCCUUCGGAAGACUGCAGACCCACUUGACAUCCUGGCUGCAACUUCAUGAAAGACUAAGCUGCACCUAGAUUCUUGAUUCUCUUAAAGUGUUGGGAAUAAUAAAUAUUUGUUGUUUUAA
rnacentral:lncRNA from 1 species